rnacentral:lncRNA from 1 species
ACCAGCAGGUAGCCUAGUGGUUAGAGCGUUGGACUAGUAACCAGCAGGUAGCCUAGUGGUUAGAGCGUUGGACUAGUAACCAGCAGGUAGCCUAGUGGUUAGAGCGUUGGGCCAGUAACCAGCAGGUAGCCUUGUGGUUAGAGCGUUGGGCCAGUAACCAGCAGGUAGCCUAGUGGUUAGGGCGUUGGGCCAGUAACCAGCAGGGAGCCUAGUGGUUAGAGCGUUGGGCCAGUAACCAGCAGGUAGCCUAGUGGUUAGAGCGUUGGGCCAGUAACCAGCAGGUAGCCUAGUGGUUAGAGCGUUGGGCCAGUAACCAGCAGGUAGCCUAGUGGUUAGAGCGUUGGGCCAGUAACCAGCAGGUAGCCUAGUGGUUAGAGCGUUGGGCCAGUAACCAGCAGGUAGCCUAGUGGUUAGAGCGUUGGACUAGUAACCAGCAGGUAGCCUAGUGGUUAGAGCGUUGGGCCAGUAACCAGCAGGUAGCCUAGUGGUUAGAGCGUUGGGCCAGUAACCAGCAGGUAGCCUAGUGGUUAGAGCGUUGGGCCAGUAACCAGCAGGUAGCCUAGUGGUUAGAGCGUUGGGCCAGUAACCAGCA